ACCUGGCGCCUCCUCAAACUUCUUCCUGUAGUCACUCAGCCCUUCGGCGGGAGUUUCUGGAGGGUUCUGGCGCAACACCUCCCUCUUCUGACCGUGAAGAUUACGGCAGCUCUGGCCUGAGAUUCUGGGACUCCCUGUUCUAGUGCAUAUCUGCUAACUUGCUGUGUGCUCCAGGGCACAGUCAGUGGGCCUCUCUGGGCCUCAGUUUCCCCUUCCGUAAAAUGAAGGAGUUGUGUUCACAGGCCAGCACUGUUGUCACAGGGAUUGCAGUCCUCAUUCUCACUGGAGUCUCACUGUAUUUGUUGUCUUGACCUGGACCUGGAACAGCGCGGGUUGUGGGCGUGUGUGCGUGUGGGGGCGGGAGCGUCAGGAGUUGCCGUGAACGCUCGUAAAGCUGACGAACGUGGAGGGACAGUGUUAGGAAACCAGCGGACCGUGUGCCGUUCACACUUCGUCAGCCAGAGGCAAUGAGUCAUUUUCAGGAAGAUGUUCGCUUUAAUCAUCGCUCAGGGAAACAGAGUGUGCUGAGGGGGCGUGUCCUGAUACCCGUCGGGUGAUGUGUCCUCAUUGGUGGGGGUGUGUUUAUGGGCUUAGUGGAAGCAGUCAGGCAUCAUUUUCUGAAACGGGCUUGGAUGUUAAGUGCCUUUAAGGAGCCCGUUUUGAAAGGAUCUGUGUGGCGAGUCCUGUGGAGUCGACACCGCUAUGACCGCAGGUGGAAGGGCCUCAGGUUAAUGCUCCCAGGCGGCCCGCCCGAGACCCAAGACGUUAGCUUCCUGCCCUACCCUCCCUCUCCGCAGCUCCCCAUCACCGGCUCCCGCCUGUGCCUCUACGAAGACGGCACCGAGCUCACCGGAGACUACUUCUCGAGUGUCCCUGACAACUCGGAACUCGUGCUUCUCACCUCAGGCCAGACCUGGCAAGGCUAUGUGAGUGACAUCCAUCACUUCCUCCACGCGUUCCACAAGCCGCAGGCGGGGCUCAUCCAGGCUGCCCGGCAGCUGCUGUCCGGGGAGCAGGCCCCGCUGCGGCAGAAGCUGCUGGCCGACCUCCUGCACACCGUCAGCGAGAACACCGAGGCCGAGACCAGGGCCGAGGACCCGCCGUGGUUCGAAGGUCUGGAGUCUCGAUUCAAGAAUAAGUCUGGCUACCUGAGGUACAGCUGCGAGAGCCGUAUCCGGAGCUACCUGAGAGAGGUGAGCGCUUCUGCCUCCACGGUGGGCGCGGAGGCUCAGGAGGAGUACGUCCGGAUUGUUGGCCUCAUGUGCCGGAAGCUCAGGGCGGAGCAGUACCACAGCAGCUACUUCGACAGAGGAGCCGAGGCGGACAGCCGGCUCUGCACACCCGAAGGCUGGUUCUCCUGCCAGGGUCCCUUUGACGUGGACAGCUGUGCAUCCAAACACUCCAUCAACCCCUACGGUAACAGGGAGAGCCGGAUCCUCUUUAGUACGUGGAACCUGGACCACAUACUCUAUUCUGGAACAUAGUGAUGUCCUUGUCUCUGCUUUGUGAAGACAGAGGUCUUCCAGUGCCCUUCAAGUGGCUCUAUCACUUUGGGGACAGGUGGCUUUGCACAUAUGUAGGACAUCACAGGGACAGCUGAGGCUCACUUUCCACCCCUCCUGGAUGCACCCCUGUCCUCGCCGGGGAACCUCGCCUUGCUGCCAUUUGCAAGCAUCCCUGUGAUGCCUGUUUAUAUAGACCUUUACCCUGUAGGUAGGAUUUGAAAAUGGACGUAAGUGGUAGCACGUGUUGUGACUCUACACCGGGCUUUUGCGUCCUAUGUCGUGCUCACGGGGAUGCGUUUGUGGGUUUCGUGCACUCAUUUCACCAGGUGCAGAGUGCCUCGCUCUUUCAAGAGAGUAUCGUUUGAAUAUCCGUUUCCAUCCCGGUAGGCGCUUCUGGCCGUCCACCUUCCGCUAUUACAGAGCCCCCUGGGCUGAGCGCGCACGCGGGACCGACCUGCGUGGCCAUGUGGGUGUGGCCCGUGGACCGGCAGCGUCCUCAGCAUGUGGGGACUGGUCAGGAAUGCAGAUUCUCGGGCUCCGCGCACCGUUACCCGGGUGCUGGGGAUUGGGGUGCACGUUCAGGUGAGGAGGCUGUCCUGGUGCCCGAGCUGAGGAGCUGCGCUCCCCUCUAGGCAGGGUGCUGGGUCUCACCCCUUCGAUGUGCACGGAGCACCCAGAGACGAUUGCCGGGUUCUCCAGGUCAUCUGUCGGCUACUUUCCGUGCCCCGCUGGGGCGUGGGGACAUCGAUCUGGGGGCGGUCCCAGCACUCAAGGGGCGGAGCAGGCCAGCCUGGAGCAGAGUGCAGACGAAGCAGCAGAGGCCGGAGCAGGGUUGUCUGACACCCUGGUUUCAGGCUCGUUUCUCCCAGGAGGGUCCUGUGGGCACUAAAUGUUCUUUGGUCUUGGAAAAUGUCCCUCUGGCCUCUACUCCUGCGUGGUCAUUUAGCGAUACUGAAUUCUGGGCGGUGGGUGUCCCACCUUCAGAACUUUGAAGACGUGCUCACACUCCCGGCGUCUGCUCGGGAGAAUUCUGCUCACAGCCUGUUCUUUGCCGUUUCUGCGGACAUUUCAGAUUUUCCGUUUCUCUUUGAACAUGGCAUGUGUGUGGGUUUAGAUCCUUAAAUUCUGACCGGGGCUUGUCUUUGUUCUGAAGACAAGUUUCUCUUUCGUUUUGGAAAACACCUAAGUAUUUUUUAGUUACCCCUUCUCGGCUUCUCUCUGUCCGGCUUCUCUGGAGCUUCCGCUGGCCGCACGUUGGACCUUCUCGUCCUGUCUCCCUUGUGCUGUGGGGGUGGUGUCGGGGAGCCCUCCGAGGCCUCUCAGCGGUCUGUUUCAGAGUGCUCUAGCCCAGGUCCUCCGCCGGGGGUCCUCGCCCUUUGCGGUGUGCUCCUUGUGACAUCUGUGCGUCUGGAUUCAGAGUCCACCCUCGGUGGGGACUGUGUUUUCUGUGCACUGGCUUGUCGUGUCCCCACAGGGUGGUUUUGCGUUUCUGCCAGACACUCACGGAAAGCCAGGGCUUCCCGUGGCUCUGAAACAGCGGAGUAUUAAUUUCUGGCUUGGGUCCCGUCCCCUGUGGCAGGUGCAGUCGGACUGUGGGUCUGUGUGAACGGUGAGCCGAGGGUCCUGGGUUUCCUGGUGACUGUGGAAACGGUCACACUGUUGGUGCGCCCGAAUCAUGCCUCCUGGGGCCUCUACCUUGUGUGUCGUCCUCACCCCUCCCGUUGCUGACUGAGGCUCGGCCAUGUGGCUCCAGCACACAGGACGCCAGCGGACGCCUGAUACGUGCUUGUGCGCUGGGGCUCCUUCUCUUUGAGCGCUGGCGUCAGUGGGGAGGGCCCUGGCCUGGCCUCCUUGAGGGUGAAAGAUGCCAUGGGGAGCAAGGCCGCCCCCAGCCAGCCCUCCAGCGUCGCGCAGCCACAGGAGCGGUCGGGGUCAGCAGGUGCCCCCCUGUUCUGGGGCUGGGCAGGCAGCAGUGGGUAGAGGGUAGGGUGGCUUCUCCUCCCUCCCGGAGCCCCGGGCGCCCCUGCUGCUUCCCUUCCGCUUUAAUGGCUGGACUGGGGUCUCGGUCCCACCUCCCUGGCCCUCCCCUUGGGCCUCUGUCGGGACCAGAGCCCCAGUGGGCUGCAGGAGGGUGGCUCGCCCCUGCGGAUCAAGUGUGGACUUGAGUUCCUGGCAGUGGGGAGCCCUCACCUGCUCAGCUUUGUACCUCUUUUCCCUUUU